rnacentral:rRNA from 1 species
GUUUGAUCCUGGCUCAGGAUGAACGCUAGCUACAGGCUUAACACAUGCAAGUCGAGGGGCAGCAUGGUCUUAGCUUGCUAAGGCUGAUGGCGACCGGCGCACGGGUGAGUAACACGUAUCCAACCUGCCGUCUACUCUUGGACAGCCUUCUGAAAGGAAGAUUAAUACAAGAUGGCAUCAUGAGUCCGCAUGUUCACAUGAUUAAAGGUAUUCCGGUAGACGAUGGGGAUGCGUUCCAUUAGAUAGUAGGCGGGGUAACGGCCCACCUAGUCUUCGAUGGAUAGGGGUUCUGAGAGGAAGGUCCCCCACAUUGGAACUGAGACACGGUCCAAACUCCUACGGGAGGCAGCAGUGAGGAAUAUUGGUCAAUGGACGAGAGUCUGAACCAGCCAAGUAGCGUGAAGGAUGACUGCCCUAUGGGUUGUAAACUUCUUUUAUAAAGGAAUAAAGUCGGGUAUGCAUACCCGUUUGCAUGUACUUUAUGAAUAAGGAUCGGCUAACUCCGUGCCAGCAGCCGCGGUAAUACGGAGGAUCCGAGCGUUAUCCGGAUUUAUUGGGUUUAAAGGGAGCGUAGGUGGACAGUUAAGUCAGUUGUGAAAGUUUGCGGCUCAACCGUAAAAUUGCAGUUGAUACUGGCUGUCUUGAGUACAGUAGAGGUGGGCGGAAUUCGUGGUGUAGCGGUGAAAUGCUUAGAUAUCACGAAGAACUCCGAUUGCGAAGGCAGCUCACUAGACUGCAACUGACACUGAUGCUCGAAAGUGUGGGUAUCAAACAGGAUUAGAUACCCUGGUAGUCCACACAGUAAACGAUGAAUACUCGCUGUUUGCGAUAUACAGUAAGCGGCCAAGCGAAAGCGUUAAGUAUUCCACCUGGGGAGUACGCCGGCAACGGUGAAACUCAAAGGAAUUGACGGGGGCCC